rnacentral:rRNA from 1 species
CCUACGUGCGGCAGCAGUGAGGAAUAUUGGUCAAUGGGCGCAAGCCUGAACCAGCCAAGUCGCGUGAGGGAUGACGGUCCUAUGGAUUGUAAACCUCUUUUGUCGGGGAGCAAGGCCCGCCACGUGUGGCGGGAAGGAGAGUACCCGAAGAAGAAGCAUCAGCUAACUUCGUGCCAGCAGCCGCGGUAAUACGGGGGAUGCGAGCGGUAUCCGGUGUUAUUGGGGUUAAAGGGUGCGUAGGCGGAAGGUUAAGUCAGCGGUCAAAUGUCGGUGCUCAACACCGGCCUGCCGUUGAAACAGGGCUGAUUGAGUGAACGAGAGGUAUGCGGAAUGCGUGGUGUAGCGGUGAAAUGCAUAGAUAUCA